rnacentral:lncRNA from 1 species
GAUAGCGGUGCUGAGCCUCUCUGCCUGGGGGAGUGGGGGGUUGCUUUUCCUGUGGCAGAAACUAUCUGUGCUCCCCAGUAUGCCCAGGAACAAUCUCCACUUAUUAUACCAGCUCAAAACCCAGGACUGUUUAUAGCCUCACGCCGACAAGACACUAACCCUCACUCAUUACUGUCACCAUGGGGAUUGAUCUGUCCCACACUCUCCUUGCAUGUGGCCCACAUUUUCAUCCAGUAAAAUCACACGUUGUUAACUCAAUAUAUACAGUGAAAACAGCAUGAAUAAUGGAACCUUUAAUCCUUAUUUCUCAAAAUUAGAUUCUACUUUAUCCUUCUCCCCUUUCCUCUCUUAAAAAAAAAAAAAAAAUCUCAGUGCUUAGCAGAAUAGAUGUUGUCCAAACCUUAGCUCUAAGCAGAUUCUGUGGUAUUUCCAUUCCAGGACCAGGUCCCAUUGCAGAUCCGAUUUCUGGGUGGAUUGAUUGCAUUUCUUCCCCUGGUCACUUCACACGUGACUCGGGAGAAAUUAACAUCAUCCCUGUCACAGCGGAAGAGAUGAAUGCAUUGACAAAAACCUCCUGCUCUGAAGGUUCUUCCUCUGGGGAAAUGCGUGGUGCCCACCUCCUCCAGGGUCAGGCACGGUCAGGACUGACCUCAGGAUUCUGGAGUUCAACAAUUACGUCACCUAUAAAUUACCAUACUGAGCAGCUUGUUACAACAAAGAAGAGAUGGGAUUGGGAGAUAGAGCAGGCUUCUGUUAACCACAGUUGCCCACGUUUUGUGCAGCAUUUCUAAGUUUUGAUGGUUUCCCAUACUGUGAAUAUUGUUUUCUCAAGACAGAAUCGCAAGCCUGUAUUUCCAGCUAUUCUCUUCAGCUGAGGAACAGAUGUGUGACUUAGACUUGUUAUUCAAAUGCACAAGAAACUGAGGCUUGGACACAGAAGUGAGCAACAUGAGGUGGUGUCCAGGAGAGGGUAUUCAUUGGUCAGCACCAUGGUGAAGACAUUGGUUCUCUAGGGGUCUGUGCUUGAGCCCCCAGAUCCUUAGUUAUUGUGUUGAACCUACUGUAUGGUUUAUGACUUGAGCCUCAAACUAGUCAAAGUGGAUUCUGUUGUUUGCAACCAAGAACACUAAACAAUAUAAGAGGUUAAACAGUUGCUUUGAAAUUACCUGGUAAAUUAGAGAAAAAGCCAGAAUUAGGACUAAGCUGUCUCAUUUCCAAGUUUCAGCUCCUAGAAGGAAUUAAUAUAACAUGGAGAUCGCAAGUUUGUGUCCCUUAGCUUUACCACUUAGCUGAGAUGCAGCCUUAAGUCCUUCUCCAUUCAGUUCUCUGAGCUGGGAGUCAUCAGACCAAAUCUGGCUCACUACCUGUUUUUGUAAAUAAAGUUUUAUUGAGACACAGCCAUGCACAUUUGUUUAUGUAUUUUCUGUGGUCACUUUUAUACUAUCGCUGUAGAGUUGAAUAGUUACCAUAAAGACCACAUAGCAUGUAAAACUUAAAACAACUACUAUCU